GACGAACGCUGGCGGCGUGCCUAAUACAUGCAAGUAGAACGCUGAAGAGAGGAGCUUGCUCUUCUUGGAUGAGUUGCGAACGGGUGAGUAACGCGUAGGUAACCUGCCUUGUAGCGGGGGAUAACUAUUGGAAACGAUAGCUAAUACCGCAUAACAAUGGAUGACACAUGUCAUUUAUUUGAAAGGGGCAAUUGCUCCACUACAAGAUGGACCUGCGUUGUAUUAGCUAGUAGGUGAGGUAACGGCUCACCUAGGCGACGAUACAUAGCCGACCUGAGAGGGUGAUCGGCCACACUGGGACUGAGACACGGCCCAGACUCCUACGGGAGGCAGCAGUAGGGAAUCUUCGGCAAUGGGGGCAACCCUGACCGAGCAACGCCGCGUGAGUGAAGAAGGUUUUCGGAUCGUAAAGCUCUGUUGUAAGUCAAGAACGAGUGUGAGAGUGGAAAGUUCACACUGUGACGGUAGCUGAGCAGAAAGGGACGGCUAACUACGUG
rnacentral:rRNA from 1 species